GCAACGGCAAAAUCCGUUGCCGGGAUUGGCGUCCCGAUGACUUGAAGCGCACAACACGCGCCUGCGUGUUUUUU
rnacentral:sRNA from 1 species